ensembl:lncRNA
AGUGCCGCCCAUUUGCAGUGCUGGGAAUUUAAGUUUAUGCACAACUAUGACAGAACCCUGCAUCCACUGGAAUCGAGAUCUAGGAACCUUGAAGAAAAAAAUGGCUCUGCUGUGCACUUUUAACCUUGCUGGUGUGAAUCCUUGAGGAAAUGUGCAGCAUGGGUGUGAGAUGAGGGAAACCCUAUCAUUACAGCUGCCAAAUGCAAAACAAGGCCUAUGAAGUUUCCUAGUUCUCUGUGUAUCGACUCAAGCAGAAGGCAGAAAGACUUCACAGUGAAGGAGGAUCAACACAACAUGCUACUGCUGUGUCAUCACUCAACUCCUAGAGAACACAAUGGAAAACUUCUGAUUAAUGACUUGGAGAGUUGGAGUUACGUUCAAAGCCCCAAAUGAGAUGAAAUGCCUUCUUUAAAGCCCUGUGAAAAUGCUGAAACUUGAUUCUGUCCAUCAGUGGCUCCCUCCCAGUGAUACCACAGGAAACUUUGGAGAGUGGUCCUCAGACUAUUUCAUACAUGGAUCUGACGGCUCGUUUAUAUUGUGUAAUUACGGUGAUGGCCUCUGAAGAAGCUUGAGGACCAGGAGUGGUGUGUCUGCCAAACUACAGGAAGCCACAGCCCCUUUGGUUAUACUUUUCAAAUACCUGAAGCCAGUGGAGUGCUUUAUAGUGGAACAGGCAGCUACGAGAACAUGAUAUGUGACAGCAUGCUCAGUGAAUGUCCUCAUGAGUCAAAGAGACCGUCGACUUACCAGAGCACCGCUGAGCAGCACCCAGUGCGUGUGACUCAGACUAAAUAAAAGACAAAAGGAUCUAUCACACACCACUGCUGUCAUCUUAUUCUGAAAAGUGCAACUGCCCAUAACACACGGUA